rnacentral:rRNA from 1 species
UGCGUAGGCGGGAGAUUAAGUCAGUGGUGAAAUCCUGCAGCUUAACUGUAGAACUGCCAUUGAUACUGGUUUCCUUGAGUAUAGUUGAAGUGGGCGGAAUGUGUAUUGUAGCGGUGAAAUGCUUAGAUAUUACACAGAACACCUAUUGCGAAGGCAGCUCACUAAACUAAUACUGACGCUGAGGCACGAAAGCGUGGGGAGCAAACAGGAUUAGAUACCCUGGUAGUCC